rnacentral:rRNA from 1 species
CCUACGGGAGGCAGCAGUGGGGAAUUUUGGACAAUGGGCGCAAGCCUGAUCCAGCAAUGCCGCGUGCAGGAUGAAGGCCUUCGGGUUGUAAACUGCUUUUGUACGGAACGAAACGGUGAGCUCUAAUACAGUUUGCUAAUGACGGUACCGUAAGAAUAAGCACCGGCUAACUACGUGCCAGCAGCCGCGGUAAUACGUAGGGUGCGAGCGUUAAUCGGAAUUACUGGGCGUAAAGCGUGCGCAGGCGGUGAUGUAAGACAGAUGUGAAAUGCCCGGGCUCAACCUGGGACCUGCAUCUGUGACUGCAUCGCUAGAGUACGGUAGAGGGGGAUGGAAUUCCGCGUGUAGCAGUGAAAUGCGUAGAUAUGCGGAGGAACACCGAUGGCGAAGGCAAUCCCCUGGACCUGUACUGACGCUCAUGCACGAAAGCGUGGGGAGCAAACAGGAUUAGAUACCCUGGUAGUCCACGCCCUAAACGAUGUCAACUGGUUGUUGGGUCUUCACUGACUCAGUAACGAAGCUAACGCGUGAAGUUGACCGCCGNGGAGGUACGGCCGCGAGUAGAACGUACGAAGAGAGUAGACGNGNGAGAGNGACGACGACGACGACGGAGGGAGGAG